rnacentral:rRNA from 1 species
ACUGAACAUUGAGCCUUGAUGUGUAGGAUAGGUGGGAGGCUUUGAAGCGUGGACGCCAGUCUGCGUGGAGCCAACCUUGAAAUACCACCCUUUAAUGUUUGAUGUUCUAACGUUGGCCCCUGACCGGGGUUGCGGACAGUGUCUGGUGGGUAGUUUGACUGGGGCGGUCUCCUCCCAAAGCGUAACGGAGGAGCACGAAGGUUAGCUAAUCCUGGUCGGACAUCAGGAGGUUAGUGCAAUGGCAUAAGCUAGCUUGACUGCGAGCGUGACGGCGCGAGCAGGUGCGAAAGCAGGUCAUAGUGAUCCGGUGGUUCUGAAUGGAAGGGCCAUCGCUCAACGGAUAAAAGGUACUCCGGGGAUAACAGGCUGAUACCGCCCA